UACGUAGGGCGCAAGCGUUAUCCGGAAUUAUUGGGCGUAAAGAGCUCGUAGGCGGUUUGUCGCGUCUGCUGUGAAAGACCGGGGCUCAACUCCGGUUCUGCCGUGGGUACGGGCAGACUAGAGUGCAGUAGGGGAGACUGGAAUUCCUGGUGUAGCGGUGAAAUGCGCAGAUAUCAGGAGGAACACCGGUGGCGAAGGCGGGUCUCUGGGCCGAUACUGACGCUGAGGAGCGAAAGCGUGGGGAGCGAACAGG
rnacentral:rRNA from 1 species